CUAAUAACCCUAUAUCUACAUCUCAUCCCGAUUCCUAUGUUCUUCCCCAUUUCUUUCUCCCCCGUUCCCCCUUCCAACAUGCGAUUUCCAGGGUUUCGGCCACAUCUCCGACCGACGACGGCGUGAUCUGCGACAACCGCUUGCUCUCCAGCGGUGGAAGGUUUUCGAUUGGUAAGCCCACUGCUCUCGGAUCUCCCUCUCUCGGCGACGGCGCGGGCCUUGCCGUGGCUGGCCGAAUCUUGUCCGCGUCGCGGGGCUGCCUGCCGUCGUGGGCUGUCCGGCGCCAGGCGCGUGCUGGCCACCGCCAGGCGCGUGCUGGAAGCAGAGAACGAUCCGUUCUGUUGUUGGCGAUCAGUCGAGUUUCCAGAAACAAAAUCGAAGUCUCCAUUCUGUUGUUGGCGAUCAGUCGCUGGAUCGUGGUCGAAUCCGGUGUCAAUUGAUGGUUAAACGAGUACAGCCCUCUGUUGAAAUCUCUGAAUACCGUCUGUAAAUCUCAUUAUUCGAAGCUGGACGAUUUGCUCGCCAAGAAGAGGAAAGCAGAUCAGCAGAUUAACUGGAGAGUGAUGCAAAAUGUGGAACUCAAGGCAUUGAAGGAACGGCUAACCUACUUGAAGAAGAAACUUGCUGAAGAUAAGGCUAAGGUUUCCAAAGAAUCAAAUGAUCUGAAGUUGAAAUAUGGGUCAUUGGAAUUAGCAUUUUCUAUAGUGAGAUAAUUUUACUUUUAUACUCUUCCUACACUUAUUCGUCCUUUCUUCAAUUGUAUGCUUCUAAUAUGUCUGAACUUUUGUUAAUUAUUCAUGUUUUAGAUGAAAAACAAGCAAACAGAAGUAUUAGAUAAACUCAGUAGCGAUCUUAUGUCCAAAAUCUCAAAAUUAUUUAUACACAUCUGAAUUGUAAGAUAAUAUAGCUAUGUAAAAGAAACCAAAAAAUAUACCAAUUAAGAUUUUCAAAAUUAAUUGUACACAUCUGAAUUUAGAACUAUCAAACCAUAAAUCAACUUUUUUUCAUGAUAUGCAUCUUUUCCGUAUUAAAAGGCAAUCUAAUUUAAACAAAGCCAAGUCCCUUCAUCAGCCUAUCUUAAUUAUUAGUACCACAUAUACAAGAUGUCCACAUAAAAGCAUAAAAGAGGAGAGGAUUACAAGGAGGAUGUGAAAAGAAUCAAUUAGGCGAAAUUAAUAAAAAUGAUCAACAAGCAUCCAACAACUUUUGAUGCCAUCAUUUUGCUUAAUUUUUAUAGUUUGAUAAAUGAGCUCCGAAAAUAUAUCCUUUUUGGUCGUCCUAACGUUUUGUGACACUUUACAAUUAAUCAUAUUUGCUUAGCAAUAAGUAAACUUUGUACCAAAAGCAAGUGAUUGAACUUACUAGAGAAAAGAACUAGUGUAAAGAACAGUAGUUGUGUCUUAGACUCCUAGUCCAGGAUCCAUAGUAAGUUUCAACUAAAAUACAUAGAAAUUAGCAACCGUUUCACUUAGAUGAGGAUCAGGUGCAUGAAAGCUAAAGGAAGAAAGAUUUGCAUAUUCACCAUGAAAACCAUCUUUAGUUUACAGAAAUUAUUUGCAUAUUCACAGAAAUUAUUUUAAACAUUCUUUAGUUUACAUUAAACACCAAAACACAACCAAACCAAGGACAAAACUAUAAAUUCAGCAAAUUAAAAUGAAAAAUAAAGUGAACAAAGUGAGGAAAUUUGAACCCUAAUACCAUACUACACAAGAUCUCUUUCUCUCUCUCUAUAUAUGAUGUGCCAAUUAUAUUAGGUUGUAUUAUAGUUACGAUACUUGCACUUAGCUUCACGAUAAUUCUUAUACUUUUAUUUACCGUUGCUAUCACAUGGAUGGUUCAUAUCAUUGGUAAAUAGGGCAUUUAUUUGAAUGUUUAAGGAAUUUCACAGUUAUGUCUUUUUUCCAAUCGUUCUUGUUACAUGGUCAUAUCGUAUCAUAUUUACAAUCUUUCUUGUUACACAUGAUCUGGUUUAUUUGUUUGUUGUUAUGUAGGCAAAGGAGAUUUGAUGGGGAGCAAAGCUUUUGUGGCAGACGAAGAUGACUUGAUGUAUUAUUAGUUUAUUUACCUUCUUGAUGGAUGAUGAACUUAUAUAACAUUGGGUUGUUGAACUUUGUAUAAUAUUUUCUAGAAGCUUGAACAAGAUUGUUGAGAUCUUUAUAUUUGUUGAAUUAUGAGUUGAGUUCAAUUAUUAA